rnacentral:rRNA from 1 species
GACGGAGGAUGCAAGUGUUAUCCGGAAUCACUGGGCGUAAAGCGUCUGUAGGUGGUUUAAAAAGUCUGCUGUUAAAAAUUGAAGCUUAACUUCAAAGAUGCCGUAGAAACUUUUAAACUCGAGGAUGGUAGGGGUAGAGGGAAUUUCCAGUGGAGCGGUGAAAUGCGUAGAUCUUGGAAAUGCCACCAAUGGCGAAGGCACUCUACUGGGCCAUUACUGACACUAAGAGACGAAAGCUAGGGGAGCAAAUGGG